GACGAACGCUGGCGGCGUGCUUAACACAUGCAAGUCGAGCGGAGCGGCGAACGGGUGAGUAACGCGUGAGUAACUGCCCCCCCCUCUGGGAUAACAGUUGGAAACGGCUGCUAAUACCGGUUAGUGGGGGAUGACUCGCGUCGUAUCAGCUUGUUGGUGGGGUAGUGGCCUACCAAGGCGACGACGGGUAGCCGGCCUGAGAGGGCGACCGGCCACAGUGGCCUGAGGUACCGCCCAAAAUCCUACGGGAGGCAGCAGUGGGGAAUAUAGCACAAUGGGGGAAACCCUGAUGCAGCAACGCCGCGUGCGAGAUAACGGCCUGCAGGUUGGAAACCGCUUUCAGCCAUGACGCGGUAGUGGCAGAAGAAGCACCGGCUAACUACGUGCCAGCAGCCGCGGUAAUAC
rnacentral:rRNA from 1 species